GAGGUACCAUGUAUCUGCUGAGAUUCUGCGAUCUCUCAGAUACAAUUCUAAAUAAAAUAUUUGAUAUUAAAAUUAACAUCUUAAAAUAGCACGAACAAUCAUUAACACUAGAUGUGCCACUAUUCCAAUAUCAUGGUACAAUAAUACCAACUGAGAUCUAUAUCAGCUAUUUCCAUGAAUUUCCAACAAAUCAUCUUGCAUUAGAUAAACCAAGCUCUUUGC
rnacentral:lncRNA from 1 species